rnacentral:rRNA from 1 species
ACGAAGCCUUCGGGCUUAGUGGCGCACGGGUGCGUAACGCGUGGGAAUCUGCCCUUGGGUACGGAACAACAGUUAGAAAUGACUGCUAAUACCGUAUGAUGUCUUCGGACCAAAGAUUUAUCGCCCAGGGAUGAGCCCGCGUUGGAUUAGGUAGUUGGUGGGGUAAAGGCCUACCAAGCCGACGAUCCAUAGCUGGUCUGAGAGGAUGAUCAGCCACACUGGGACUGAGACACGGCCCAGACUCCUACGGGAGGCAGCAGUGGGGAAUAUUGGACAAUGGGCGAAAGCCUGAUCCAGCAAUGCCGCGUGAGUGAUGAAGGCCUUAGGGUUGUAAAGCUCUUUUACCCGGGAAGAUAAUGACUGUACCGGGAGAAUAAGCCCCGGCUAACUCCGUGCCAGCAGCCGCGGUAAUACGGAGGGGGCUAGCGUUGUUCGGAAUUACUGGGCGUAAAGCGCACGUAGGCGGCCGAUCAAGUCAGAGGUGAAAGCCCGGGGCUCAACCCCGGAAUUGCCUUUGAGACUGAACGGCUAGUAGGUGAGAGAGGUAAGUGGAAUUCCGAGUGUAGAGGUGAAAUUCGUAGAUAUUCGGAAGAACACCAGUGGCGAAGGCGGCUUACUGGCUCAUUCUAGACGCUGAGGUGCGAAAGCGUGGGGGAGCAAACAGGAUUAGAUACCCUGGUAGUCCACGCCG